rnacentral:rRNA from 1 species
AAAUUGAAGAGUUUGAUCAUGGCUCAGAUUGAACGCUGGCGGCAGGCCUAACACAUGCAAGUCGAACGGUAACAGGAAGCAGCUUGCUGUUUUGCUGACGAGUGGCGGACGGGUGAGUAAUGUCUGGGAAACUGCCCGAUGGAGGGGGAUAACUACUGGAAACGGUAGCUAAUACCGCAUAACGUCGCAAGACCAAAGAGGGGGACCUU